rnacentral:rRNA from 1 species
GACGUAGGAUGCAAGCGUUGUCCGGAAUUAUUGGGCGUAAAGAGUUCGUAGGCGGCAUGUCAAGUCUGGUGUUAAAUCCAGGGGCUCAACCCCUGAUCGGCAUUGGAUACUGACAAGCUAGAGUACAGAAGAGGCAAAGGGAAUUCCUAGUGUAGCGGUGAAAUGCGUAGAUAUUAGGAGGAACACCGGUGGCGUAAGCGCUUUGCUGGGCUGUAACUGACGCUGAGGAACGAAAGCCAGGGGAGCAAAUGGG